CUGUGUUACUCACAGCGCUGCAGGCGCCAAGAGAUUCGUGUUCCCUCCGCGCUGCCUCCAUCCCCGGAGGACACACUGUUUGUGUCUUUAAGAUUAUUUCCCACACGAGCAUAUAUGGAAAAAUAAUCUGCAUCAAGAACUGACACAUCACACGGAUUCGUGAAAUUGAUUGUUAAGUACUUGCCAGGCUACACAAAUUUAAAAAUUAUUGGAUUCCAUGAAAUAUGUUGGUAGAGAAAGUGUAUGUGAGGAUGGUGGUACCCUAUUGACAAGUCUGAGUUCUGCUCCCCGUCAGUUUUUACCAUCAGUUCUGCACUAAAUCAUCAUACCUUGUUACCAGAUUGCUGAUUGCACUUGGAAACUGGCUUUGGAGCAAAUCACGGAAAGAAAAAAGGGGAGGUAAGAGGCAGUUGGCAAAGAACAUCCUGAAAAAAAGGAAAUGCAAGCAAAAUGGAUCUUGGAGAGAAGACCAAAAUAUAUGUGCUAGAAGAACCAUUGUCAAAACAGUACCCAGUGAGCCUUCAUUUGCAGACCUAUUUUGUUCUUCAACUCUGAAAAUUUUCUGAGCUGCUUCUACACAAUUCAAGAGAGGUUCUGAUCCGGAGACAGAGGUCCUUUCCUGAUGUUGAUGUUCUGUGUGGUGUGCACGACCAGCAGGAAAACACGAUGGCCAAGCAGUUUCCCAUCCCAGCCAAAUUCUCAGCACAGUAACGCCUUGUUAUCAAACUCGGGACCUCAUGCUUUCAAGACAGGAGUGACACCUCUGAACUAAGUCCCCAGCCCC